CGAGGAAUCUUCCGCAAUGGGCGCAAGCCUGACGGAGCAACGCCGCGUGAGUGAAGAAGGCCUUCGGGUCGUAAAGCUCUGUCUUUAGGGAAGAAAGGGUCAUAUGUAAAAAAUGUAUGACAGAUGACGGUACCUGAGGAGGAAGCUCCGACUAACUACGUGCCAGCAGCCGCGGUAAUACGUAGGGAGCGAGCGUUGUCCGGAAUUACUGGGCGUAAAGGGCGCGUAGGCGGGUGAUUAAGUCAGAUGUGAAAACUGAGGGCUCAACCCUGAGACUGCAUUUGAAACUGGUCAUCUUGAGGCAGGAGAGGAAAGUGGAAUUCCUAGUGUAGCGGUGAAAUGCGUAGAUAUUAGG
rnacentral:rRNA from 1 species